UGUUCUGGGCUCAGUUGGUCAGAGCCUGGUGCUAACAGCACCAAGGAUGUGGGUUCAAUCCCUGCAUGGGCUA